UGUCACGUGCGUAGAGGAAGAAGCAAUGAAAAAAAUAUUUAAAAUCUUUCUGCAGCCGACAGCCGCUACAAACUAUGCCGUCGUUGCUAAAAACUAGCCCGCAUGAUGCGGUGUUAGCAGGUAGCAUCUGAUGUGUCUCACAGAUAUCACAUUUAUGUUGAACUAGAUGCGAAAUGACAGAGUCAGCGGUGUUAGUAAACAGCCGCCAUCUUAAAGCAGUACACUUCUCAGCGCUAAUAAGAUUAACGUUACUGUCACUCGCUCACGUACGUAACGUUAGCCCGGCGGAGGGCUAGGUUUCAAUUAAGACCACUGUCGAUGCGUGGCUAACGUGUCUUACAUACAGGCUUUAUUUAAUCUGUGAAACAUAGCGCUGUAGAGUGGUGAGGGUGUAAAAUGAAAAUAUGAUAAAGCUAACUGUCAAUUUUAGCUCAGUCGUCAUUGCUGGAUAAAACACCAAGUAGCACUGGUCCCUAAUGUGCUUCGAUACAGCAGGUAUCAUACUGUAACGUUGACAAAGAGUCACCCGAUUUGUUAGGUUGCAAUUAUUUCUUUUUUGGGAACUUGUGGAACGACAACAACAACAGGAAGGCACGUCUCUCGCUCUCCCGCACCUCCCUCACACCCGCACAUCACGCGGUGCAUUCAGGAACGCAUGCAAAUAUCCCCGCCAUAUUAUAACCUGAUAUGUUACAAUACAUUUAUCUUGAACACUGCAAAAACUCAAAAUCCUAUCAGGACUUACAGUUUAGACUAAUUUAAAACUUAACUAGAACUUAAAAAUGGCUUGACACAAAUGGAAAUUCAAUUGAAACACGUGGGAAAAACACCUAACUUUUAAAUGAUGUGUGUUAUCAAGCGUAAUGGCAUUUUUAGGUCAGAAAUAUAUAUAUAUAUUUUUUAUAAGAUCUAAAAGUUUUGGGAGUGAAAGCAGUGAAUUGGUCUUUUUUUUUAAUUCUAUUGACAUCUGAGAGGCAAUUGUUGGCGGUUUUCAACAACGUACAUCGAAAAUAAAGACAUUGAUUGACUGAAAAUGGUUCAAUAUUAGAUGAAAUGUCUUGUUUUCUCAUGUAUAUUUAUAAUUUUUCUUUACCUAAAAAAUGUUUCAUCCGAUUACUCGAUUAAUUGAGAGGAUUUUCAGUCGAUUACUCGAUUACUAAAAUAUUCGAUAGCUGCAGCCCUAAUUUUAACACAGCUAUAUUUCGCUUUUGUGACAGCCCAAACAUCUGAAUAAUGUUUUCGUUCUACAAAAUAACAAACAGCAAGACAAAUAGAGCUUUUGAUUGCAAAGUAACAAUUUUAUUUACACAUAACUAAACUAUUGAACUGUUGAACUAUUUGCGCACAUAACAAUGGGGAAGGCUCUCAGCUGCUCCCGGUUGAAUGAGAGGGCUCCCAGUAAUCUGAUGAGUCCGGAUCAAGAUCGGUCUCACUUUUUUCAUCAUCUUCAUCGUUGGUUUCAACCUCAGGCUUAGGAGUAACGCAACGUGAGCUCCGCAGAACGCGUGUGGAACCUGACGCUGUUGUGGCCAUCUCACAGGCGGGGUAAACUUCUCUCUCAUCACCGUCUGUCUUAUCAAGAUAGAUUUUUUAAAAAUCCUUUUUUGACGAUGGUUUCGUUUUCUUUUCAAAACACUCCUCCAGUGUCGUUUGCCUUUUUUUCCCAAUCGUUCUCCACAUUUUUCUCGCGUCUUCAAGAUCCCUCCAACUUCCGUUUCCUGAUUAUUUUUCUUCACUUCCUUUCUGGGCCCGAGAUGAGCUCUCACAAAAUGCGCUACUGCCCUCCAGUGGCCAGUUUUAUUGCUUUAAAAUGGGUUUUGAGCUUUGUGCAUUGCAGUUUAGGUGCGUCACAACCUAGAGAUGCCUCUUGUAAAAAAAAAACAAAAAAAACACACAAAAAAAACAACGUAAUAGACGUUUUUGGGACACUGAAACAAUUAAAAAUAGAACAUAUUUAUACGUUUUUGGGAGCAAAUUAGUUAAUGAGCAAAGUCACUGUACGCGUCAGAAGUUGUCUCCACAAGAACAGAGAUAUCAUAGGAGGGAGCCGAGAAUAUGUUCUUCUCCACGGCAAAUUCAGUUUUGAAUGACCAAAAACACAUUAAGUCCCUAAAACCAACAGUCUAUCUCGCGCUGGCCAUGUUGAAUAAACUUCUCAGUUCUCUGCUCUCCUUGUAUGUUUACGUACUUGCGCUAGAGUUUCUUUUUGCUUUACCAACAUCACUUCCGCCCAUCGCUGAUUGGUCCACUCCGCUGUCUGUUUGCUGUGGCUUGCUCCGCCCUGGGAAUUUGAUCUGCGGAACAAUCGCCAGACUCAAUAGCUGGAACAGCGGUGAAUCUGGAGUUCCAGGCUACCCUUGCGGGGCUAGAUUCGCUGCGGGACUAUCACGUUAGAUGGGACUCACGCAUGACUAGGUGAAAUUAAACACACUCAAGUAGGAAACCUCGGUUUCAGGAUUAGCUAUGACACAGCAUAGAAUAGGAUGCCAACAUACUCACACUCGCAAGGGAUUCACACAAAUACUGGGUUCUAGACCACAUGGCUGGUUUAGGUACACUUCAACCUUCCCAAUCACUUAUCUCUCAGACACCACCACCCGCUUUCCUUGGUUAUCAGGCCCCCCACAUGGUGUCAACCAGAAAUACAACUAGCUAACUAUAGCGCCUACAUAUACAUAGUUUGAGUAGGCGUUUAAUGUAUUUCUUGUUGUUGUUUGUGCUUUUUCUGUCUCUCUCUCCCUCUUUUCUUUUGUUCCCUCAUAACCCCUUCCUGUUCGCCGCUUUCUCCUAAUAAACUAGGUACGUUGAAUGAUCACAAUGGAAGUAACUCGUACUCCCACACGAGGGCCGAGAACGAAAAUCGGUAUUUGCCAUGUGGCAAAAUCGACUUUGCCAUGUGGCAUUUUUUUUGUCAUGUGGCAAAACAAUUUUGACACAUGGCAAAAAAAUGCCACAUGGCAAAACCAAUUUUGCCACAUGGCAAAAAAAUUCCACAUGGCAAAGAAAAAAAUGCCACAAACCAAAAUCCAUUUGGUCAUAUAAUAAAAAAUGCCACAUGUCAAAAUACAAUUUGCUGAAUGGCAAAAAAAAAUGCCACAUGGCAAAAACAAUUUUGCCACAUGGCAAAAAAAUUCCACAUAGCAAAGCAAAAAUGCCAGAUGGCAAAAUCAAUUUUGCCACAUAGCAAAAAAAUGCCACAUGGCAAAAACAAUUUUGCCACAUCGCAAAAAAAAUCCACAUGGCAAAGAAAACAUGCCGGAUGGCAAAAACAAUUUGUGGCAAAGAAAAAAUGCCACCUACAAAAAAAAAAAAAAAAUUGCCAUACAACAAUUAAAAAAAAGGCCACAUGGCAAAAAACAUGCCACAUGGCUAAACCAAUUUUGCCACAUGGCAUAAAAAUUCCACAUGGCAAAACCAAUUUUGCCACAUGGCAAAAAAAAAAAAUUCCACAUGGCAAAGAAAAAAUUGCCACAUACAACAAAAAAUAUGCCACAAACCAAAAUCCGUUUUGCCAUAUAACAAUAAAAAAAAUGCCACCUGUCAAAAGACAAUUUGCCACAUGGAAAAGAAAUGUCACAUGUCAAAAUACAUUUUGCCUCAUGGCAAAAAAAAUUCCAGAUGGCAAAAUUAAUUUUGCCACUUGGCUAAAAAAAUGCCACAUGGUAAAACCAAUUUUGCCACAUGGCAAAAAAAAUCCACAUGGCAAAGACAAAAAUGCUACAUACAAAAUUUUUUUUUUAAAAUAUGCCACAAACCAAAAUCUAUUUUGCCAUAUAACAAUAAAAAAAUGACACAUGGCAAAAAAAAAAAUAAAACGCCACAUGACAAAAACAAUUUUGCCACAUGGCAUAAAAAUUACACAUGGCAAAACCAAUUUUGCCACAUGGCGAAAAAAUUACACAUGGCAAAACCAAUUUUGCCACAUUAGCAAAAAAAUGACACAUGCCAAAGAAAAAAAUGACACAUACCAAAAAAAAAUAUGCCACAAACCAAAAACAAUUUGCCAUAUAACAAUAAAAAAUGCCACCUGUCAAAAUACAAUUUGCCACAUGGCAAAAAAAAUGCUACAUGGCAAAAUGAUUUUGCCACAUGACAAAUACCACUUUUGGUUCCCGCUGUCUCUCUACUCCCAUGUAAUACAUUAAAACUGUCCAGAUCAAUUGAACACUCAGAUCUCCAUUCUCUGUGUCCAGCAGCUGACCAGAACAGGUUAAAAUAAAUAAUAAUAAUAAUAAUUAAAAAAAGAGUGACUUUGUCAGGAGUAACCAAGAAUCCAAGCAAUGACCCUGCACUCCCAGAACGACUCGCAACCGCCCCAAGCUUUUAUUACUCAUCACUUGGAUGAUGGUGGCUUCUGAUGAUGGAUAACUCAAAUUUGCUAUCUCCGAAUAGUAGCAGAAGAUGGAGUAAGGAGGAUGAUGAUGGGAGUUGUCUGAUGAAGAUGCUAAAGCAGCUUCUCUCUCUCUUUCUCUCCGUCUGCCUGCGCGCUGACAAACUGGAGCCAUAAAAGGCAUCUUCCCAGAUUGGUGCGUCUUCCUCCUCCGGCGAGCCGCUUUUACGCACAAAUCUCCACGCAGGCGCGCUCUCUAAUUCUCUCUCCGGUCCGGAUGGACGAGGACGUUCUUUGGCAGCUCAGCGCAAACUUGAGCGAGGAGCCCGGCGGAGGACGCCUGCCCGCCACCUCCGAGGAGUGGACGGUGGACGCGGCGGUGCGCGGCGUCAUGAUCGUUUCGUACUCGCUGAUCGUGUUGGUGGGCGUGCUGGGCAACGGCGCGCUGGUGAAGAUCUUGGUGAGCUCCGGCGCCGUGCGGAGCGUCCCCAACAUUUUGAUCAGCAGCCUGGCAGCGGGCGACCUCCUGCUGCUGGUCACCUGCGUGCCGCUGGACGCCUUUCGCUUCUUUUCCGAAGACUGGCUGCUAGGGGAGACGGUGUGCAAGCUUCUGCCCGCCGUGCAGCUCACCUCCGUCGGCGUCUCCGUCUUCACGCUCACCGCCCUCAGCGCCGACAGGUACAAGGCCAUCGUGAAGCCGAUGGACAUCCAGGCAUCCGGCGCGCUGGCGCGGACGUGCGUGAAGGCCGCCGCCAUCUGGCUGCUGUCCAUCACGCUGGCCGUCCCCGAGGCCGUCUUCUCCCAGGUGGUCUCCAUGCAGGGUCAGAGAGGCGUGGAGAACGUGACUUUCCUCAACUGCGUGCCGUACCCUCUGUCCGACCAGACGCACCCCAAGGUCCACGCCGUCCUGCUCUUCCUGGUCUACUUCCUAUUCCCGCUGGCCGUCAUUUCGGUCUACUACUACCACAUCGCGCGCACCCUCAUGCGCAGUGCGCGCGACAUGCCGGGCGAGCUCAGCGAGCACACCAAGAAACAGAUGGAGACGAGGAAACGUCUGGCCAAGAUCGUGCUGGUGUUCGUGGCCGUCUUCGCCACCUGCUGGCUCCCCAACCACAUGGUCUACUUGUACCGCUCCUUCAGUUACCAGCAGACGGACUUGUCGCUAGCGCACCUGUUGCUGACGCUGCUAGCUCGAGUCCUCAGCUUCUCGUCGUCCUGCGUCAACCCGUUGGCGCUCUACCUGCUCAGCGACAGCUUCCGACGCCACUUCAACAGCCAGAUGCGAUGCGGCGGCGGCGGCGUGAGUCACGAGCGUCGGGCGAGCUACCUGCACAGCACCUCGCACAUACGUUUGACCUCCAUCAAAAAGGCCGCACCAACAAGCGGCAGCGGCAACCGCCAGGAAGUUUGACCCAACUGACGGGACACGUCGACGCUGAGGACCAUGAGGUCACGUGACUCUUUUAAAUUUGUGCAGUUGAGCAAAUUUUACUUUACCGACUGAUGAAUUUGAAAAUAAGCAUUGAUUUCGUGACCAUUUCUCCUGUCAGCCAUGCAUAAACUUCAUAAUGUUUUGACGGGUCUGAUUGGUCACGCACUGCGCCUCGCAUUCAAGUAGGGGGCCGCCCACAUCCAGAGGAGCUAUUCACAAACACGCACGCAGCGAUCUGAUGCCAGAUUUCUGUUGGAAAAGUACGAAAGCUGUACCGCAUACAAACAGGAAGGAUUGUCUCAGGAGUGAUUUAUUUGAGGAUUCAAGGCAAUUAUUAUAUUUUUCGUACCUUGCAUGCAUUUUGAAACGUUGUGAAAAAAAAUCAAUGGGAGAAAUUAGCUGCAACUGGAUUGGCAUCAUCGUUCAGAAUAUUUAUGUUAAAAAAAUGCUAACUGCACAGGGUUUUUUUGCUUUCAACCAAGACUCGAGACUGUUUUACAUCCGUAUCUAUAAAGAAUUCGGGGAUUUAAGCAUUUAUUCACAAGAAUUUUCACUGGAAAAGCUCUGUUUACAUCAGGCGUCCGCUAGCUACAUUCACUAACAGACUAGCAUUGUACUUCGACAUAGUUACGUAAAAUGAAUGCUAACUGCACUUUUUUUUUGUUUUUUGUUUUUUUUUUGCUUUUAACCAAGAAUGGAGACUGUUUUACGUCCAUAUCUAUAAAGAAUUCAGGGAUUUAAGCAUUAAUUUACAAGAAUUUUCACUGGAAAAGCUGUUUACAUCAGGCAGCCGCUAGCUCCAUUCACUAACAGGCUAGCAUUGUACUUCGACAUAUUUACGUAAAAUAAAUGCUAACUGCACAUUUUUUUGCUUUUGACCAAGACUCGAGACUGUUCUACGUCCACAUCUAUAAAGAAUUCGGGGAUUUAAGCGUUUAUUCACAAGAAUUUACACAAGAAAAGCUGUUUACUUCGGGUGGCCGCUAGCUACAUUCACGAACAGACCAGCAUUGUACUUCGACAUACUGACGUAAAAUAAAUGCUAACUGCACGCUUUUUUUUUGUUGCUUUCAACCAAGAAUCGAGUCUGUUUUACAUCCAUAUAAAAGUUCUUUUUACAUCAGGCGGCCGCUAGCUACAUUCACGAACAGACUAGGAUUGUACUUUGACAUAUUUACGUAAAAGAAAUGGUAACCACACGGCUUUUUUGCUUUUAACCAAGAAUCGAGACUGUUGUCCGUCCAUAUAUAUAAAGAAUACGGGGAUUUAGGCAUUUAUUCACAAGAAUUUUCACCGCUAAUAGUUCUGUUUACAUCAGGCGGCCGCUAGCUAAAUUCACUAACAGACGAACAAUGUACUUCGACAUAUUUGCAGUAUGUUAAAUGAAUGUUAACUGCACAUUUUUUAUGCUUUCAACCAAGAAUUGAGACUAUUUUACGUCCAUAUCUAUAAAGAAUUCGGGGAUUUAAGCAUUUAUUCACAAGAAUUUUCACCGGAAUAGCUCUGUUUACAUCAGGCGGCCGCAAGCUACAUUCACUAACAGACUAGCAUUGUACUUUGACAUAUUUACGUAAAAUAAAUGCUAACUGCACGGUUUUUUUUUUUUUUUUUUUUUUUUACUUUCAACCAAGAAUCCAGACUGUUUUACAUCCAUAUCUAUAAGGAAUUCAGGGAUUUAAGCAUUUAUUCACAAGAAUUUUCAACGAAAAAAGCUCUUUGUCUGUGAUUCCACUCUGUCAGCUUUGACGGCCUCCUCAUCAACAAUGCAGGCCCCAUAUUUAUCGGCCCCGUGUCCCAUCAAUACGUUAUGAAGUCUAUGAGCCAUCUUUGUUUAGUGAUGUCAUCGUGACGUUUCAACUGUAAUAAAAGCGCACAAACUGUUUGCGUGUGUUUGCUAUACUGUACUACUAAAUUAGCUUGCCCAGCAAGGGAUGAGGAAGUGGCAUCCAACUGGGGCGUUUCCUUGUGGACACGAACGCACCCGUCAGUGCAUUAGCAAGCAAGGAUCCACUUCUCACAUACACUUUUUCAUCAGCUCAGAAAAGGAACAGCAAUCGCCACCGACCGAUUGCUUGUUUUGCGCUCCGAUUUGAAGCUUAAUGGUGCCUCGGUCUUGGUGUCUCACCCUAAUUGACGACAGAAGCCGCGGGCCGCGUCGGAUGUGACUCACGCGUGCUCAAGUGGAACGCAGAGCAAUCGGCGUUGGCCCGACGUCCCCGUGCUGCCGUCGGCGUGGCCUUCAUCGGCGGGAUUAUCGUCACUACGGUUGUUGCAGGAGGCCGUGGCCUGCCGUUGACCUGAAAAUGAGUCCCGAUAGGUCGGUCGUCACCUCGCGAGUCACCCGUUGCCGUAUGAACCGGAAGUUUCUCCAAUGGCGUUUGGAGCUCAUCCAUAAUUGCAAGUUUAGGUGCGUGCGUGUGUUGCAACCCUUGAUCAGAGUGUUUCAAGUCUCUGGAGGCUUUUAUCAUGAAGAGAGCAGCUCGCACCCCCUCCACACAUACACGUAUGUACAUUGAACAAGUGCUCGUGACUGUGAAAAUCAAUUCGUUUUCAAUUAACAGGACGCUUUGGAGUCAUUUAGCUUAGCGCUAGAAGCUAACAGGCAUAAAAGGAAGCGGAUAUUUGUGUCACCCAAUUAUAGACUAAAUACAGGGCUGGCCAAAAGUAUUGGCACCCCUGCAAUUCUGUCAGAUGAUGCUCAAUUUCUCCCAGGAAAAUUACAAAUGCUAUGGUAGUCAUAUCUUUAUUUAUUUUGCUUGCAAUUAAAAAACACAAAAGCGAAUGGAAGAAAAAAAUAAAUCAAUUGAAUCGAUGAGGGCAGCUGCAGCGAUCAUGCUAACGGGAAGGACCGAGUGCAGCAGGAAGAAGGCAGAAGCUAGCCAGGUUCACGGACAGCCAACCAAGCUGGGGCAGGAGGCUGCUACCGUGGCAGCAGCUGGUCAGUGGGGUCCGGCUACAGCGGCAGCAUUCAGCCAAGUGGACCACCGACAGCCGGAGCACCUUAUGGGAAAUUCAGGGGGAUGGGACUACGCCGCCGAGCGGUCGCGGCAAAAUCGUCGAGAUAAAUGAAGUGCCCUGACGUCUUUUCUGACCUUCGGCCUGCAACCGCUGGGAAUGUGGGAGGGGCCGGUCAACUUAUUUGGAGGGUUCAGCUGUUGUCCUCGUCUUCAUCUCGGUCACUCUCCCUACCGCUCGCUUCGACUGUGCUCACUGGCACUAAAACAUAUAGCAAGGAUGGAGACGUCGACCCGAUGGCUGGACGAGACGACGGCCGACGACCCGAUGGACGAGUUUAGCAGGAGGCUGAGCGACAUCGUCGGCGGUGACGCUCUGGCGGAGGUAGACGCGCAAGACGACUUCGCCGCCGGCAUCCAGUCAG